rnacentral:rRNA from 1 species
AGCGAACGCUGGCGGCAGGCCCAACACAUGCAAGUCGAACGAAGUCUUCGGACUUAGUGGCGGACGGGUGAGUAACACGUGGGAACGUGCCUUUAGGUUCGGAAUAACUCAGGGAAACUUGUGCUAAUACCGAAUGUGCCCUUCGGGGGAAAGAUUUAUCGCCUUUAGAGCGGCCCGCGUCUGAUUAGCUAGUUGGUGAGGUAAAGGCUCACCAAGGCUACGAUCAGUAGCUGGUCUGAGAGGAUGACCAGCCACAUUGGGACUGAGACACGGCCCAAACUCCUACGGGAGGCAGCAGUGGGGAAUCUUGCGCAAUGGGCGAAAGCCUGACGCAGCCAUGCCGCGUGGACGAUGAAGGUCUUAGGAUUGUAAAAUCCUUUCACCGGUGAAGAUAAUGACUGUAGCCGGAGAAGAAGCCCCGGCUAACUUCGUGCCAGCAGCCGCGGUAACAC